rnacentral:lncRNA from 1 species
CUGACUUAUCCAUAGUAAGACUGCAAAAGUGCUCCAAAACAGAAGAAUGAAGUGACAGCUGAGGGCUCACGUGCACCUGCCCGGCAGCGUUACAUCCUGAUUUCAGAUUCCUUAGCUACAAAACUGUAUCUGGGAUACAUAGUUAAACAAAACCUGACACCUACCUGGGAACAAACCUCAUUGCUCAGGCAUGUUGCUCAUACCCUGCUUUGUCACAUGCUGCUCAGAGCUCAACCAGUCCCGGCUGUGGCCGAUGAUACCAGGGCUGGGCUACGCCACUAACCUGGUGAGAUACGGCAGGAGGAACCCCAGCAGGUGAAAAGGGCACUUUAGUCAGCAUGAUGUUGAGUGCUGGUUGAGCAACACGCCGGGAAGGAGAGGAGCCAGCAUCACUUCUGAUGACACACGAUACUCCCAACAACAAUAAUCCAUCAGUUAUGUUUCUGUGUGCUGGGGAUCACUGCAAGACAUUCCAGAUCCCUUAACUGGCCAGCAGUUUCACAGCAGCAGUGAAGUCUGACAGAUAAGAGUAAUGCUGAUCAACCACCAGCCCCAGGGAGCACUUUCACCUGUUCACGGAGUUCAAAGAUACAGCUGAUAGAGUCAGUAUCGUGGCUUGCAUACAU